GACGAACGCUGGCGGCGUGCCUAAUACAUGCAAGUAGAACGCUGAAGAGAGGAGCUUGCUCUUCUUGGAUGAGUUGCGAACGGGUGAGUAACGCGUAGGUAACCUGCCUGGUAGCGGGGGAUAACUAUUGGAAACGAUAGCUAAUACCGCAUAACAACAGUUGUUGCAUGACAGCUGUUUAAAAGAUGCAAUUGCAUCACUACCAGAUGGACCUGCGUUGUAUUAGCUAGUUGGUGAGGUAACGGCUCACCAAGGCGACGAUACAUAGCCGACCUGAGAGGGUGCUCGGCCACACUGGGACUGAGACACGGCCCAGACUCCUACGGGAGGCAGCAGUAGGGAAUCUUCGGCAAUGGGGGGAACCCUGACCGAGCAACGCCGCGUGAGUGAAGAAGGUUUUCGGAUCGUAAAGCUCUGUUGUAAGAGAAGAACGGGUGUGAGAGUGGAAAGUUCACACUGUGACGGUAUCUUACCAGAAAGGGACGGCUAACUACGUG
rnacentral:rRNA from 1 species